UGCUGAUCCCUUCCUGACAGUGGUUCAGACAGUGCACAUCCACAGCUCUGUAGCCCAUUCACUUUCACUUGUCAGUUGUGGAUAUGACUGUAACUGUCAGCAUUCCCUUAACAGCCUCUCUCCCUUUCACAGCCAAUCCUCCAGCCCCUCAGCCCCAGGACCACGACUGUGCUGCUCAGCUCAGGCUGAAGCUUUCGCUGCCUUUGGGUCGGUCCUGGGGGAUUGGGCUGAAUGGGGAACUUGCCACCUCAGGACUGUGGCCACAGAAGGAGCAGCCAGCCCAGGCAGGGCAAGGAGGACUGCUGUGAGAGCAGCAGGAGCUGGAACUGCAAAUCUGGACUGACAGCACCGAGCAGUGUUCUGAGUCCUGGCUGCACAGCAGUACUGCCACAGCUGCCUCAGCAAGGCCGGAGUAAUCUGCCAGGAGACAGAAGCGAGUCACAGGCGGUGCCUCGGGAAAAGCUCUGCUGCAUUCCUGCACUGAGGAGUCUUCUUCAUCCUGUCAACACUCUGGGUCAGAAGGGGGAAAGCAGAGACCUGAAGGGUGGAAGGCAGUCACCUCUUGAGAGAACACAGGCUGGUGCCUCUCCAUUAUUUGGCAGAAAUGUCAGAGAAGAUACUUCUAACAUCAAACCUGAAUGGAUUUCUUGAUCACACAAAUGCUACAGAGAACACAACUGUGUUAGAAUCCUAUAUGUGAAAAAGAUCCUUGGCCUGUGUUAAGCUGAGAAGUCACCCUGCCCUGCACGUGCCCAGAGGAGCCAGAUGCUGCCUGAGGAAUGCCCCUGCUCACCUGGAUACUGGCUGUGUACUUCUUUAAAGUACUUCUCAUUUCCCUCACAUCUUGUUGCAGUUUUUCUACAGCUUCUUCGAGUUGCAAUUUCUCUUCUUUGCACUGCACUGCUCUUUUCGAAUUCCUCUGCAGCUGAGAUUCCAUUUCAUUGAUCUACAUACAAAUAAAUGAGAGGUGAGCGUUUGCCUUGUGUCACCACCACAACACCAAGCAAGAUCUCGGCCGUGUGUCCAACAGCCUGUGAUCUCUUAAAACACAGGAAGAAAGUGGAGUAAAACCCUGAUGAUUUGCUGUAGCUGGAGAGAAUGGGGAGGCAGCCUGCUGAGAAGGUCGGUUACACUAGCAAAAAACAAGAGAAACAAGAGGAGCAAGCAGAAGAAAAACACACUGAAGAAUCCCUGACAAAUGGAUCUAUUUUAAGGAAAUAAAACUAGACUAAGCUUGAAAGGCUGAAGACAGAGUAGUGAAGGCAGAAAGCAAAAACCCACCCAAGCAGAAGCUAGAAGCUAUUUUGACUAUAGUUAAGAUUUGCUGCUGGUUGGUUUCUGUGGCAAUCUGGAAGACAAAUCUGGUCAAGUCUUGCCAAGGAAUAAGGAUCCAUUUCAGAUCUCAGCCUAACUUCUGUUUUCACAUCCAGACAACUAACAGGCACAGGUAUGAAAGCACUUGUUCUACCUGGAGUUGCCCACUAUGCCAGUACAAAUUGGAAGGAAAGCUCUACCACUCCCUGACAAGUCUUACAAAGACGCAAAAUGAAGGACUGAACCUGUCUUUCCUUGCUGCUGAGGUGCAGCUCCAUGGUUCCUCACCAUUAACAUGUUCCACACUCUCAUCCCUACCUUAAUCAGUUUCCAGGCUACCAAAGGUAGCACCAAGAGGCUAAACAUUAAAUAAUGGGCAUGAGAUAGCUGGGCUGUGAACAAAUGCACUUAAGAGCACUCUCCCCAUGCUCACCUUGUGAAUCACCGUGUGUGUAUCUCGCAUCACAGAUGCUAACUACUGAUGCUGACUUAAAAGCACAAAGCAUGUGAACCUAUGAACUGCCAAGACAUAAGGGACUUGGAUGCAAUUCCACUUUUCAUUCAGAUGAUGUACUAACCUCUUUUUCUGAAACAUCCAUUACGACUGAGGAACCCAUUCUGCCCUUCUUGACUUUAACUCCACCACCAGUCAUCGUUCCUAAAGCACAAGAGUCAAAGUCAGCGUGCGGCAUCAUCCUCAGAAGUGCAGAAAAGCCAAUUGCAUGUCUGCCCUGCAGUACCUGACUGCUCAAUAAUCUGUCCUUGCAGCGUUACCACUCUCCACCUUUUCUCUUUCUGGAAUGCUAUUCUGGUGGCUUCUUCCAAGUUGCUGGCUACCAGGGUGUCCUGUAGGGCGAAGUAGAAGGCCUGGCGCAUCUUCUCGUCUUUCACUGUCACCAUAUCAAACAGCCGAGGGACGUUCUCAGGGGUGGAGAUCUUCUGCAUUUUUUUUUCCCAUACAGCCAUCUACAUCCAAAAAGUGAAUAAAUGAACCUGAGAGUCCUCAGGGUGAACAUGAGGCUGCUAAGGGCUAAGAAGGUGGCCACCCCAAUUCCUUCUGCCUUUAAGAAGUUCACACAGUGCUGGGCUGUGUCGAUGGUGUCAACGACGAUGUAGUCCAGGGCACCGCAGCAGGACGAGACUGCCACAUCAUACUUCUCAUUGAUGGCUCCCAAGUCCCCCUGGGCACCCAGGAGCAGAGGCAGAAGCACACACU